rnacentral:rRNA from 1 species
GAUGAACGCUGGCGGCGUGCCUAAUACAUGCAAGUCGAGCGAACGGACGAGAAGCUUGCUUCUCUGAUGUUAGCGGCGGACGGGUGAGUAACACGUGGAUAACCUACCUAUAAGACUGGGAUAACUUCGGGAAACCGGAGCUAAUACCGGAUAAUAUUUUGAACCGUAUGGUUCAAUAGUGAAAGACGGUCUUGCUGUCACUUAUAGAUGGAUCCGCGCUGCAUUAGCUAGUUGGUAAGGUAACGGCUUACCAAGGCAACGAUGCAUAGCCGACCUGAGAGGGUGAUCGGCCACACUGGAACUGAGACACGGUCCAGACUCCUACGGGAGGCAGCAGUAGGGAAUCUUCCGCAAUGGGCGAAAGCCUGACGGAGCAACGCCGCGUGAGUGAUGAAGGUCUUCGGAUCGUAAAACUCUGUUAUUAGGGAAGAACAUAUGUGUAAGUAACUGUGCACAUCUUGACGGUACCUAAUCAGAAAGCCACGGCUAACUACGUG